GGUGUACUCUCUCCGAUCCUAAAUUGUUAUCGAAAUAUUACAUGUAUUUAGACAUUUUUUAAGAAUAAAUACAUCCAAAUUCAGGCAAAUUUGAGACAAGAAUUUAGGAUCGGAGAGAGUAUUUA
rfam:Brachypodium distachyon strain Bd21 chromosome 1, whole genome shotgun sequence.